AUUGAGGAUCUUAGAAUUAUCUAAAAAAUAAAUUUUAUAAUUUUUCGAUAUUAUUUACUUAGUAAUCAAAUUGACUAAAAAUGAACGACUAAAAAUAAAAAUCUUACAAAGUUAUGAUGUAGCAGUAAAAUUUCGAUCAGAAAUAUUGAUCAGACUGUAGAUAGUAUAAAGAUUUUUCUAUCAAAAUUUCAUCUGAUUUAAAUACUUAUGCACUACUAAACAUAUAAACGGCACACAUCAACCAUUAAAAAUUAUUGAUUUUGAGCCCUUUCGAUCAGUGGUAAAUAACAUCAAAAAAUUACAAAAUUUAUUUUCUAGGUGCAUUAAAUAUGCUAGGUCAAGUUUAACGAAACUAAUUGUCGAUUUGGAAGUUCCAUCAUCGAAAAUGGUUCGGAAGCACGGAGACCUCCGUGCUCCUAAUAGCACACAAGCCCUACUCUCUCUCUCUCUCUCUCUCUCUCUCUCUCUCUAUAUAUAUAUAUAUAUAUAUAUAUAUAUAUAUAGAGCUAGGCUGGUAUACUAUCGGUAGCACGGAGACCUCCGUGCUACCAAGUUGUUUUCAAUGAUGUAGCUUUCAAAUCAACGAUCGGUUUCGUUAGACUUGAUCUACAUUAUUGAAAGUAUUUGGAAAACUAAAUUUCAUAACUUUUUGACAUAUUUUGGUUAGUGAUCAAAAGGUGUCAAAAUUAACAAUUUUAAUGGUAGAUGUGAUGCGUUUGUGAAUUUAACGGUGUAAAAUAAUCCAAAUCUGAUAAAAUUUUUAUAGAAAAUUCUUUUCACUAUUUUAGGUAAGAUCAUUACAUCUGAUCUUAAAUUCAAGUUUUUAUUAUUAUUUUUUAUGCAGAUUUUUAUUUUCAGCGCUUCAUUUUUAGACUACUCGUUUGAUAGGUAAAUAAUACCGAAAAUUAUGAAAUUUAGUUUCCAAUACUUUCAAUAGUGUAGAUCAAGUCUACGCCGAGACCGAAUCAUCGAUUUGGAAGCCGCAUCAUUGAAAACAAUUUGGUAGCAAAGGCCCUCGUGCUACUGAUAGUAUAUCAGCCUGCUCUCUCUCCUCUCUCUCCUCUCUCUCCGUCUCCUAUAUAUAUAUAUAUAUAUAUAUCCAUAAUUUUAAUAAUGAUUUUGUUGGUGAUUUUUAUUUUGAGAAUCAGAUACUCGUUCAACCAUACGUAGCAAAGUAAAUUACACUUCACAUUCCUCUAUAUUUGUAAUCUCACUUGAUAUUUCAUAUUCUCUUAAUAUAGAUACGACGAACUCUUCGACGGCGUUCUACUAUCUCAUAAGAUAAGUUUCCAAAGUAACCAUGCAAAGAUUCUGCAUGGUUUAAUCCCGUACUUCGGAGUAAAAGUGCGAGCGAAACUGCUAAUCUUUUCUCCAAAACCAAACAUGCUCUUAGGUGAAUUGAACUUACAUUAUAACGAUCGUCCUACUUAAUGAGUUUUAUGUUCCAAGAGAUAUGAUUUGGAUCACAAUAUUGAGUUGCUAAACUUAACCUGCUUAAAUAAUGCAUUACAACUCUACAGAAGGAAAGGUCGUCAAGCUGAGUAAGGAAUCUAUUCAUGUCAUCGUACUCGGCUUUACUUCGGCGGCCAUUAUGUCGGAAGAUAUUCGAGAAGAGUUCAAGUACAAAAUCGUAAGAUUUAUAACAUUUAACAUGUUAGCAUAUAUAGGCCUUGUUCUGCUUCGGUGUGAAUUAUAUUUUAGGUUUUUCGGGUCUGUAAUAGGUUUCAAUAGUGACUCUUUCUUAGUUUAAGUACUUGUAUAUGUUUCUCUGUCCUGUACGAAGUUCCUAGAAGCUUUUUAUUUGCUAUCAAAAUGGAAAUUUCUAUAAGUUACGCCUUACAGAUAGGCCUCAUGUUGCAUCACUUGGAUUCUAGUUUCCUCGAUUUCAGUUCGAUAACAAUUUUUCAAAGGAAGUGAUGGAAAAAUGGGGUAAUUCGAUUUUAACUUUUCCUCUCUCUUUUCAUGCAAUGUUUGAUGCAGAAACAUGGUGCUGGAUGUUUUGCAAGUUCAUCUCACAAAUGGCACAGGAUAAAAGUUGGAAGCAUGGUACAGUUCGCGGUCAAAAGGUAACUGCAAAAGUUAUUUUCAUAUGCAAAGUUUUAUUCGUGCUGUACUUCCGUAGAAGUUGGAAAGUUGGAAGUGUGUUGUUCUUCAACUUGAGUUUUCCAGAGUAUCCAUAUCAUCAAGUUGAGAAAUAUUCGCAAAUUAACAUAUGUGUCUAAAGUGUUUUUGAAUGUAGAGUCAUGCAUAAUCCUUUUGGAGAACCUUUUUUUCACCUGGUUCUCUUGUUUCCCCUCACAAUCUGAUCGAGGGAUUUAUUAGUAUUUUUAACAUCAUUUCAAAUCCUUUGAUAUUCCAUCCUCUCACCGUUGUGUACAUACAUGUGGCAUAGGAUAUAAUGGCUAGGAUGUGAAUGUACAGCAUAUGCAGUGAAACUGAGAUAUUCUGUUUUCCCUUUCUUUAUUUGUGUGAUGUUACUGAGUAGUGUGGAUGAAGAAAUCGGCCAUAUUUCCGGAUCUUUGAUUCCACCUCAAACUGGAUGUGUUCAUUGGUUAUUAAAACAUAGUGCAGAUGCUGUAUCGCAAACCAACAGGUUCAUCUCUAACUCGUCUUUUGGUUGUCUCUUUAACUGACACCUAGGUUUUUAUUUUGAUAUAAGUGGUACAAAUUUGUAUCCACCUAAUUGGCCUAGCUAAAUUUAUGUUGUCACAUGGUAUAUUCAGAAAGGAGAAAGUACACUUUCUAAUGGUUCCUACUUGAAUACAAUUUUCGAUUUUUUGUUGCCAAUGCAAAAACAAUAUUUGGAAUGCUACUGUUCUACUCAGCUCUCAUAUUAAAAUGUCAUCUGAUGCUCGACAGAAGUCUUAAGAGAUGUAGAGACUGAGACUCCGGGCUACUUGAUAAUGGCGAUCGGUCGCAGAAUUUCAGUCGAUCACCCAAGUUGAGAAAGGGAACCGAGUGAUUAGAGUUCCAACAAUUUUUUCUUUUCUACAUGCAGUUUAAAUGGUAAUUCUCUAUCUGAAUAACAUAAUUGGAUCUCUUUAGCAUGAUGAGAAUCUGACGGUUAUUUGUUUCCAGACACCUUUAUGUUUCAGUGAAGCAGAAAGCUUUGAAGAGUUUUUGUUUUCCCCCAUUACGGUAAUAAGAUGUCCUGUUUUGGCAGAGGAUUAACUUACACUUUUUCCCCUCCCUCUAUUGUACUUAUUCUGGCAGAUUCACUUUUGUGCAAUUUGUGUGGAGCCUCAAGGAAGAGAGUAAUGCGGAGAAAGAUUAUGGAGAAAGAUUAUCUUUUUUGUUCAUCUUUAUUAUUUGUUUCACCAUCAUCAGAACUCCAAAAACAUCAAUAUAUACUCCUCCUGCAGUGGAGAAAGAUUAUGAAGACAGAAACUUUAGACUGCUGCGUACUGCGAGUUUAAUUUUUUUUUUUUUUUCAUUUCUGGAUUUGAGGGUGUAUCCAAUCGAAUGUUGGAAGUACUUCGAAAGUAUGUUUGGUUCAGAAAUUUGUUUCCGGCAAUUCCUGUUAUUGGGACCAUGUAAACUAUGUGAUGGAUUUUUUCGAAUGCUGCUUGUGAGUUUCUUCAACAAUGCCGAACGCGCGCAAGAUUGCGCCUGAUAUCUGUUUUGUUUGUUAACUGUGAGAAUGAUGGAUUGAUUUGUGUGUGUAGCUGCUCCGCAUGCUGCGAGCAACCUUCUUAAAUGCCAUUACAGCAAAAGGUAAUGCUUGAUUUGUAUUAAGCAAUUCAGCUUCUCACUCAAUCCAGAAGCUCUAACCUAUAUCUUGUUGCCUAUGAAAUAGCUUUUGCCCCUCUAUUAGAAUAGCUACUCUAGAAGUGGUUAGCUGAAAAGAAUUGGAUUGAAAUUAAAAAGCUGAGAGAGAUGGAAGAAGUAGAAUAGUACUGAGUAGAGAGAACAUUUUGUUCUGUUUUACUCAAGAAGCUUGGGGUCUGUUUGAUUCAACCUAAAAUCGUGAAAAUUAAUUUUUCAUGGAAAAAAUAAUUAUGUUUUAUAGUGUUUGGUUUGUAGGAAACAAAUAAUUUUUCAUCAACAUUGGAAAAAAAAUCACAUUUGUUUGGUUCGCUAGGAAAAAUAAAUAAAUGGAAAAAAUUUUAUGCAGCUUGAAUUUUUGUUCGAAAAAUAAAUAAGAAAUGAGGUUAAAUGUUUAGAAUGAUAUAAUGUAUUGGUUCUUAAAUCAAUGUUGAGUUCCCUUUCUAAUUUUUCUCAGUAUAUUAUCCUAUCAAAUUAUGAUGCUGGGGCAUUUUAAGUGAGUAAAAAUCAAACUCUUAAUUUACUAUUGUAAAAUAAUUUUUUACAUUUAUUUUUAUUGGAAAACUCUUUCGGGCCUAGGCUACACAAUGCACGGUAACUAUUCUGUUUUAACUUUUUAUUUUUUAGACCGAUCGUCUCUAGAGCAAGUGGUAAAGGGCUUGAUGGUUGGUACUCGAGACAAAGUUCGAAUUCUAGUUGAUUCACAUUUCUAGCUAAGUUUAUUUCUAAAUGAAAUAAAGGAAACAGAUAUAGUACUACAGAUCUCUUUAAAAAAAAAAAAAACCUUUUAUUUUUUAGAGACAAGUAGUAUGUUAUCAUUUUCGUUUAUUUCAUUUCAAAAUAAAUUUAGCUUAAAAUAUAAAUCAACUUAGAUUCGAACUUGGGACCCCGAAUAUCAACUACCAUAUCCUUUAUCACUUCCCAUUGCUCCCUCUUUUAACUUUUCCCCUCCUCUUUUGUAGAUUCUCUUCUUUUUGGAAAGUUAAAACAAUUAAAGACCCUACCGACCAUAUCGCAAUUAAAAGAUUCCUACCUUUUUAAGGUGGCCUUGUUCCCUUAUUUUAACUUUAAUUACUGGAAUUGUCGAAUUAAAAUUUAAUAAUCUGAGACUAAAAGUGUUGAAUAUGAGAAUUUUUUUUAUGUGGUAUUCACAUAUUUUGAUCCUUUCCUUUCUGUUUUAUUCUCCAUUUACUAUCAUAUCUUCCUUACGACCGUGAGAAUAUUUCUUCCAACUUUUAUCAGAUAUCAGUCCACUGUACCUGCAAUGAGACGUGCAAAGUAGGUGCUCCCACUAAUUUGUUUCGUUUAUAAGAGGGAGCAAUCGGAAUCGGAAUUAUAUUCAAAUUAAAAUUUAAGAAUCAAAUUUCAAUAAAAAUCUAAAUUUAUUGUCUAAAUUUGUCUAAAUUCAAAUUUGAAAUUAAAAACUAAAUUUGAAUUCGGUUUUAAAAUUGUAAUUGAUUUUUAAAUUCAAUCUAAAUUAUUAUUUGAAUUUGUAAAAUUAAUUAAUGAGAGAAAAGAGAGUUUAUUUCUCAAUCCCUUCAGGAUUUAAAGUUGAUUCCCACCUUUAUAGUGAACAUCUUUUUGCGGGGGUCGAUUUUCUCCAAAAUGAAAAUCAAAAUACCAAAAUACUAAACUUAACACCAAUAAUAAAAAUGAAUCAUUUUAUUAUCAUAGCAAAUUUUAAAUCCCUCGAACCUAAAAUACCUCACUGUUUCCUCACUAUUUCUUACACCCAGUGAAUUUUCACGCUUUGAGAAUAAGCAUUGCAUGAAUUUUCAGGAAUAUUGCAAUUUUUUUAUUAAAAACUACUAUGUACUACAUUUGUGCACGUUUAGUUCAAAACAGAAAUCGAAAUCGAAAGAGAAAUAAGAAAGGGCCUGAAUCAAAAAGCAAAUAAUAAAAACAAUAAUUUGUUUGGUUCAUAAAAAGAAUCGGAAUCGAAGUCGGAAUCAAAAUUAUGUUCAAAUUAAUAUAUUUAUUAAGUUUAAAUUUGUUAUUCAAAUUUGUAAUUAAAAUUUGAAUCCAAAUUUGAACUUGAAUUUUGAAUAUACAAUUUAAGUUCAAGGUAAAAAUCAAAAUUUAAAUUCUAGAACUAUUAAAGUAAAAUUUGAAAAAUAAAAAUAAUUUGUAAAUUCAUAUUUUUAAUUCAAAUUUGAAAUUAUAAUUUAAUCUAAUAAUUUUAUAUUUAGAUUUAUAUUUGAAUUCAAAUAGUUGUUAGUGUAAAAAAAAAAUUUCUUUCCUCGAUCACUUCGGAAUCAAAGUUAAUUCCCACUUGUAACGAGAGUCACUUUUGAGGGAUUUGGAUCUCUUCGGAAUAGAAAUUGGAAUGCUAAUAUCUCAAUCUAAACACUAAUAAUGGAAAUGACUUAUUUCCACUUUUAUUAUAAAUCUCAAAUCCUACAAACAUUCAAACAUGCUCUAAAGGUUUAAAAAUAAACAGCUAUUUCAAGAGAUUUGAAAACAAAGACUUGUAAGAAACCACUAAGCUAGCUAGCUUAGGGUUUGGUACUCAAACAUUGACUAAGAGAUACAGGGGUUGGAUGUGUUUUUCGUUAUUUUCUAAAACAGGGGAAUAAUAAUAAUAAUAAAUUAACUCUAAAAAAAACAAGAAUUUAUUAUAAAAAAAUUUGAGUUAUUGCUAAGGCUUCGUUUGGGAUUACGGAAAGAUUGCGUUACGUAUGGUGAGAAAUGACGAUGAAAAAAUACCAUAUUUAUUUCCGUACGUAAUAUUAUGUUCCGCAUAUUGUAUUUAGUCGAUUACGAUAUAUUUUAUGCAGUCUCAUCAGAGAACGCAAAAAUAUAUCACUAUAUAUUUUUUCUCAACUCUAUUUUAUAAGUACUAAACUAAACUAAGCCUAAGUCUCAUAAUCAGUUUAACAAGUAGUAGUUAACUCUGCAGUUGGAGGUCGUUGAUCAAGAAACGAAAUCAACGGUAGCCACACCCAACAUCUCAGUGGUUAUGACGGCUCGGGCUUACGAAUCUUCCACUAUUAUUCUGUAAAUAAUAAUAAUGGUAAUAUAAGAAUAAAGCUAAUUUUUUUAAAAAAAAACAACAACAACAAUUUUUUUACGCCGUACAACCGCCUUACAUUUCUGCCACGUGUUCCUUAAUAUCUACGCCCCAUGCAAUUGCACGGGAAAAAAUUUCUAUGUCGCUCCUCCGUGAGAUCCCGAAACAACUUUUGCAGUACGAUAUUGCUUGUUGGUGGGAUCGGCCACCCAACUCUGAACCGUCGCACCAAAAAAAGAAAAUGAUCAAAUUUAAAUUGUAUCUUUAAAAGUGAAUUGUUAUUUGUUAUUUUUUUAAAAAUUAAUUUAUAGUGGAGAGUGGGAGUGGAGGUGAGUGAGUCCAAUUUAAUGCACUCUUUAUAACUCGGGCGCCCACCCAAUCCCAUGUACGCUCCCUCCCCACCACCCCCUCCCCAUUGAAUGCCUAUAUUUACAGGAGGGGCGCCCUUUUAAUUCCUACACAAUUAGGUGCCCUCGUAUUUAUUAGACCCCGCCCAUUUGCCCAUUUCCUACACAAAAUUAGGUGACCCAGCCAUGCCAUGCACCCUUCUUCUUUGUUCCACCCCUUAAUAUCUUAUAUCUUAUAUACAUAUACUAGUGAAAGAGUCCGCGCUCUGCAGCGGGUAAAACUAUAGGAGUAAUUAAUAAUAAGAGAACAUCAGAUGAUGACGCCUUCUCCAAGGAUGAUGAUAGUAAAGAUGACGAUAAUCCAUUCAGCCGCUGCCGAGAGGGAAGAUAUAUAGGCACGCAUUAGUAAGAAAGAGAGGGAGGGAGGCGACGGUGUAUAGGAAAAGAUGAGGAAAAAAAAAUUAAUGAAUUAAUUGGAGAUGAGAAGAUGCGGAUUGUAGAUGGCAGUGGAUGGUUUGGAUGCAUUAAUUAGAAGUCUGGUGUAGAAAAGGGAAAGGAUUAUAACGAAUUAAUUGGAGAGAUAAGUGAAAAUUGUAGAUUAUAGCGAAACUAUUUAAAUGCAUUAAUUAAAAAUUUGGUAGUGAAAAUAUUUAGAUGUAUUAAUUAAUUGCAUUAAUUAAAAGUUUGACGAAGGAAAUGUUGAGGGUCAAAUGCUGGUGAGGGUGAAGGACAACUUGCCAUAUGGCAAAGAUUAUUGGGGAUUCAUAUAAGUUAAUUAAUAGAUAGGUCAAAUACUGGUGAGGGUGAAGGACAACUUGCCAUAUGGCAAAAAUUAUUGGAGAUUCAUAUAAGUUAAUAUAUAUAUAUAUAUAUAUAUAUAUAUAUAUAUAUAUAUAUAUUAUUAUUAUUAUUAUUAUUAUUAUUANNNNNNNNNNNUAUAUAUUAUUAUUAUUAUUAUCUCGAUCUUCUCCGCUGGCUCAACGUUAAUUGCCAACAUAAAAUUUUUCCUCUUUUUUUUUAAAGAAAAAAAGAAAAAAGAAGCUAGUCCGGUGCACGGGGCACCACCACAUUGGAGAGCAGCUACGUACACAGCAAAUGUACAUAGUUGUUGAUCAUCUCUCUCUCUAUUUGUUUCUAAUAUUAUAUGUAUGGAAGUGGAACUCAAUCGAUCCCUCCCUCUCUCUCUCUCACUCUUCUUACCUCUCUGUCUUUCAUUUUGCUCCCAACGACCUCUGACAGCAAUUAAUGGCGGCUUAGGCAGAUAUCCAGCUCAAAGAGCACCAAGUUAGAUCAUAAAGAUAGGGAGAAAGAGAGAGGGGGUGGGGGGUGGGGGAGAGACAUGAAAAGGUAAGAGGGGAGGGUGGUAGAUGGUGAAGAACCCGAAGGAAAUUAAACGCGCAGUGGCGUAUUAAAUGCCUCCCCCCACCCAUCACCUCCACCACCACCACCACCUCCACCACCACCCUUUCUAAUUCUAUAAAACUUGCUCCCUGUGUCUUCUACUCCUCCACUACUCCAUGUGAUCUCACCACCUAUAUAUGACCACCACGUUCGCUAGCUAGCUGAUUUGUGUCCUGCACGUGAAUAUAUAUAUAUAUAUAUAUAUGACUAGCUAAUUAGCAUAUGCUGCUGCUGCUGCUGCUGCUGGGCGCUGCUGCUGCUGCUGCUGCUGCUGCUGCUGCUGGUGGUACUAGUAGUACUGGUAGUAGUAGUACUAGUAGUAGUAGUAGUAGUAGGAUGAUGAUGAUGAUGAUGAUGAUGAUGGAGGAGUACUGGUCGGGGACGUGGGCGGCGGUGGCGUUGGCGUUGGGAGCGGCGUACAUGGCGUGGUUCUGGCGGCUGGCGCGGGGGCUGCGCGGGGGGCCGCGGGUGUGGCCGGUGGUGGGGAGCCUGCCGGGGCUGGUGCAGAACGCGGAGCGCAUGCACGAGUGGAUCGCCGGGAACCUGCGUGGCGCCGGGGGCACGUACCAGACCUGCAUCUGCGCGGUGCCGGGGCUGGCCCGGCGGGCGGGGCUGGUGACGGUGACGUGCGACCCGCGCAACCUGGAGCACGUGCUCAAGUCGCGCUUCGACAACUACCCCAAGGGCCCCACCUGGCACGCCGUCUUCCGCGACCUGCUCGGCGACGGCAUCUUCAACUCGGACGGCGACACCUGGCUGCUCCAGCGCAAGACCGCCGCCCUGGAGUUCACCACCCGCACCCUCCGCCACGCCAUGUCCCGCUGGGUCGCCCGCUCCAUCCACCUCCGCCUCCUCCCCAUCCUCUCCCACGCCGUCGACGCCCGCUCCCCCGUCGACCUCCAGGACCUGCUGCUCCGCCUCACCUUCGACAACAUCUGCGGCCUCGCCUUCGGCAAGGAUCCCGAGACGCUCUCCCCCGGCCUGCCCGAGAACGCCUUCGCCGUCGCCUUCGAUCGCGCCACCGAGGCCACCCUGCAGCGCUUCAUCUUCCCCGAGUUCGUCUGGCAGUUCAAGAAGCGCCUCCAGUUCGGCAUGGAGGCCACGCUCGCCAGCAGCGUCGCCCACGUCGACCGCUACCUCUCCGCCGUCAUCAAGGCCCGCAAGCUCGAGCUCGUCUCCUCCUCCUCGCCCUCGCCCUCGCCCUCGCCCGACCGCCACGACGACCUCCUCUCCCGCUUCAUGAAGAAGGGCUCCUACUCCGACGACUUCCUGCAGCAGGUCGCGCUCAAUUUCAUCCUCGCCGGCCGCGACACCUCCUCCGUCGCCCUCAGCUGGUUCUUCUGGCUCGUCUCCACCCACCCCCCCGUCGAGCGCCGCAUCCUCGUCUACCUCAAGGCCGCCCUCUCCGAGACUCUCCGCCUCUACCCCUCCGUCCCCGAGGACUCCAAGCACGUCGUCGCCGACGACGUCCUCCCCGACGGCACCUUCGUCCCCGNCCUCCUCCGUCGCCCUCAGCUGGUUCUUCUGGCUCGCCUCCCCGCUCGCAUUCGAGGAGGUCGACCGCCUCGUCUACCUCAAGGCCGCCCUCUCCGAGACUCUCCGCCUCUACCCCUCCGUCCCCGAGGACUCCAAGCACGUCGUCGCCGACGACGUCCUCCCCGACGGCACCUUCGUCCCCGCCGGCUCCUCCGUCACCUACUCCAUCUACUCCGCCGGCCGCAUGAAGUCCGUCUGGGGCGACGACUGCCUCGAGUUCCGCCCCGAGCGCUGGCUCAGCCCCGACGGCACCAAGUUCGAGCCCCACGACUCGUUCAAGUUCGUCGCGUUCAACGCCGGCCCGCGCAUUUGCCUCGGAAAGGACCUCGCCUACCUCCAGAUGAAGUCCAUCGCCGCCGCCGUCCUGCUGCGCCACCGCCUCGCCGUCGUCCCCGGCCACCGCGUCGAGCAGAAAAUGUCCCUCACGCUCUUCAUGAAGCACGGCCUCAAAAUGCACGUCGCCGCGCGCGAUCUCAAUCCGAUCGUCGCCGAGCUACGCCGGACACGCCCGGAGGCCUUGGCCGCGCCGCCGCCGGAGAGUCAAGUGAACAAAAGCAGUGCCGUUCCUACGGAGGUUGCAGCUGUUACCGCCUAAUUAAAGUGCAUUUUCUUUUUCCCCUUUUUUUUUCUAAAAAAAAAUUGUUCUUCAAAUUAAUUGGAAUAUAUUUUAGAAUACUGUGGGAAAGUGAGCUGGGUUGGUGUAAUGUAGAUAGAUAGUAAGUAAACAAGUUGGUGUGAGAUUUGGGGUCAAGGGGGAAGAAAUUAAUUAAUGGACAGUGUGUCUAGCUCUAUUCAGAUCAUUAUCUUUAUUACUAUAAUUGUUAUAAUUGGGAGAAAACCAGAGUUUGAUGUCACUUUUAAAGAAUAAUAUAAAUAAAAAGAAGCAUCGGAAUUGGGAUGUAACAUUUGUUGUGGUGGUUAAAAUGUGAACGCCACCAAUCUUAGAAAGUUUAUGAAAGAAACGAUUGUAUCCUUUUAAUUGGAAGCAUUUAUUUUUUUUUGAGGCAUUCAAUUUUGUCCUAGUAGGGUAUCUGAAUUUCCUCCCGCUAAUGGGGCCCAUCUAUUUAAUUAAUUAAAUGAGCAAAUAUAUAUAAAUAUAUAUAGACAUUACAUAAUGAUGUAUUAAUUUCUACAAUCUGUAAAUAUGUAUAUUGGAAUUAGUUACCGUUGUUAAAAUAGUGUGGCCCAUUUUUUUAUUCCCCAUUUAUUUAACAUGCAUUUACAAUUAUUUAAUUAAUCUCGGGUGUCAUUAUUAUUAUUUUUUUCAAGUAACAUCUUAUCCACUUUGUUAGUUGUUUUAAAAAUAAACUUAACUAUAAAUGCGAAGCAGUUAGGUUUCUAAUUUGUAAUCAAUCUCGACUAUCAACCGUCGAAUUUCUAACCAACUGCGUAAGGUACAGUCGGCGAUGUUGUUGCCGAUGUUGAAGACGUUAAUGACUCUGUUUGAAAUAGCAGGAGAAUGCAUUGUGGACGAACAGUGAGGAAACACAAUAAAAAGUAUUUUAUUUUAUUUUUGCAAAUAAUAUCACAUUGCACAUAUCAUAAUCAUUAGUUAUAAUAUAUUUUUCGUUGUAUGUUGAAAAAAAUGAAGACACAUAUUAUUUAUAAUUUUAUUCUAACUCUAUUUGGUUUAAUAAUGAGCAUUAGAUAGACCUUAAUACUUAAGCACUCUUUAUUGACUGUCGGAGGAUUCAAAAGCUAUGGCCUAAAGAGGGGAAUACCAAUCAUUUAUUCUAAGUGGCUGUGAUAAUUCUUUAGCAUUUUGCAAGGUCUUGUUGCAGGGAAAAAGGAAAAAGUUUCUAAUAUAAUAAACUUUAACUUUUUUAAAAUUGUACUUAAUUUGAUUUAUUAAUAAAUUAGCUUUAACUUAGUUAGUACAAUAAAAUUUCCUAAUAAACUUCUAUUGCAAUUACCGACCAUUCCUAGAGCAAGUGGCAGAGGGCUUGGUAGUUGGUACCCGAAACCCAAGUUCGAAUUUUAGUUGAUUCACAUUUCCAGCUAAUUUUAUUUCUAAAUGAAAUAAACGAAGCGGGUAGCGUGCUCUCACAAAANAGAAAUUCACUAAGAAAUUAUUUAUCAGCAACAAAUGAAUUGUUUGUAACAAAAUAUUAGAAAAUAAUAGACUCAGUCUGUAAAAAAAAAAAAAAAAAAAACUAAAAAUAGGAGAACUUAGGAGUAAUCUUGCUCCAAAGUCCAAAACACACUAGAAUUUUGCUCUUAAAAAAAAAAAAAAUUAAUCGUAAUAUAAGGUCACUCACUAAUCCCAAGAAAUGAGCGAAUCAGUGACCACCCUUAAAACUAUAAUUAUUUUAAAGGCAUAUUGCGUACACCACUAACCACAAUUGCGUUGAUUAAGCGCUAAAGCCAUUACAUAAACAGUUUACGCAUUACUUAAGGCCACAAAUUAAUCCCUCUAUGGCCACUAUGACCACUUGUGGGGUCCCACACAAUCACGAGGCCCAUGUGGUGCCACGUAGGAUUUCAAGUCUCACUGUGAGUAGCAAAAAGGAGUGCCGCGCAUAAGAUCGAUUUGUUUUAUUUAAUUAUUUUCUUAAUUAGUAAUUUUGUGCACAAACUGGAGAUUAGUUAACAGACGGUCGAGAUUGAAUGCCAAUAGUAGGACGGUUUUGAUAAAUUUCCAUAUAAUUUCAUACAAAUAUUAGAUAAAUGAAUAAUUAAUUAAUAUAUAAUAUUAAAUCUAAGUCCAUAAAUAUAAGAUUUUGACUUUGUUAGGUUUUAAUAAAUAAUAAUAUCAUAUUUUCAGACGUUGUGAUGCUUAAUCUGAGGUUGGAACUUUCCGAAAACUUAAGAUACAUUACAUAGAGAAUAUUUUGACUUUGUUAGGUUUUAAUAAAUAAUAAUAUCAUAUUUUCAGACGUUGUGAUGCUUAAUCUGAGGUUGGAACUUUCCGAAAAUAAUAUUUAAAUUUGAUGGUCAAAAUAUUCUCUAUGUAAUGUAUCUUAAGUUUUGUACAUCACAAUGAAAGUCUAUAUUCUAUGACAACAAAUAGCUUAUAGAUAAUAAUUAAUAAAAUUAAGAAUUUAAUCGUCAAAUAAAAAAAAUUACUAAUAGAGUUAUUCAUGUAUUAAUGCAAAUUAAUCCAAAUGGGAAUUUUUUUUAAUUAAGAUCAAAAUAAGCCGAUCGAAUCGACCGAACCGAACCGGUUGGACCCUGCUAAACCCGAUCCAAAGUGAUUUACCGACCAUUAUCGCCUCCUUCUUUUCCGAGUCGGAUUCGGUUCCGACCCGAAGAGCACGUCCUCCUCCAAGUCUCCGACAAACCCUAACCAACUCUCCGAACCUCUCUCUCUCUCUCUCUCUCUCUAUCUAUCUCUUUCUCUCUCUCCGCUCCGUCUCGCUCACUCGCUCUCUCCGUUCGAUUCGGUGCCCUCCUCCUUUUGCACUCUCCUCUCUCUCUCUCUCUCUCUCUCAAUUCUCUAAGCUAAGAAGCAGGUGAGUGGAUCUCUCACUCGAAUCACUACUCACUUUACUCUCCGAUCUCUACUCUUUUUUUUUUUUUCAUUUUUUGGGUAGUUUAGUAGAUCUAAUAUUUUUUUGUUGGGGGGGGGAGGGGGAGGUGGUAAAGUUAAUCUAUUUUCAGGUUGAUUUCCUAUUUUUUUUAAGAUCUGUUUUGGAACGGAUUGGAUCUGUUGGAUUCCUGUUUCUUUUCAUGUUUUUUGUUUGAUUUUUUUUUUUUUGUAUAAUUAGUUGCUUGUCGUAGUGUAUCUGAAACAAGGUUAAGAAGAUCAUUCCAUAGUAAAGUGUCGAUUUUUGUCGGAUUCUUCGGUGGUUGAUGCUAAGGGUGGGAUUUUAUACUGAGUGAGAAGUUUUGAGAAGUUUUAAGACUCAGUCAAAAGAUAGGAUAGUGAAGUUGCUAUACUAAUUAAAUAAUUUUACCUUUUCUUUUUGUCUAUGAAAGGUUAUGCAAAAGUUUUAAGGAGGUUUAUUUAUGGUUGAAACUUAUGAUUGUUGACUUGGUUUCAUCCUCAGUAGGAAAAGAGGGAUGGUAGCAGGCACAGUCAAAGUCAGGGCCAUAUCUGAAACGAGUUCCAGAAAAAAAAAAAAAAAAAAAGAGUUGAAAGAUAUUGAGUUAAAUUUAGUAUGUGAGGAUAGAUUUGUAGAAUAGCGAGAACUUCUAAAAGAGGAUUGAGAAGAAGGGACUAAGUACUUUUGAUUAUAAGAUUAGUAUAGGAGAUAUUGAUAUAGAUGGAUAUGGGAGAAUCCAGUGGAAAGAGAACGCUGAGUAGUUGAUGAGAUGAAUGAGAUAAGAAAUAAUAGCUUAUGCUUUGGUAGAAACUGAAUUACCAAAAGGGCAUGGUUAAUUUGUUCGCAUAGGACGACAGAUUAGCACGGAAUAGCAGAAAAAAAAGAUUAUUAUUCAGUUAGGAAAUAAAAAACCAAAUAAAUUAGAACAUUUUUUUUUUCAAAAAAGAACAUAUUGUACUUUUCAAUAAAUUUAAGUUUAGUAUAGUAUUUCAUAUGCAUAAAACAGACAAAGUCGGUAAGAGUUUUUAACUUAAUUUAUCUUCAGAUUUUUCCACUGAUAUUCUGAUUUGCCUCUUGCUAUUGACAUCUCCUUUUCAUCUGUGUUGAUACCAAAAUCUUUAAAAUUCUGGCAUCUUAUUUGUCUGUUUAUGAAUAGUUUUAGUUCCUCAUGUUGCUUGAUGUUGUAGGAUUUCUCCCUUUGUGCCUUGGAAGAACUGCUACAUUGAUCCUUUCUGCUAUCGUAUGUUAUUAGCUUCCUAAGAUAUGUAAAAUGCUUUCUUUUUCAGGGGGAAAAAAGGCGCUGCCUGCAAAAUAGAGUAAAUUGAAUGAUAAUCCAUUGUUUGGGGGCAUCCUAGUUAAUUUGGUGCCUUUCUUCUUGUGGAUUCUUACUGAAAGUUGCCUCAAACAGUCCUAUGAAUUUGGUCUUGAAAUAUUUAGUGGAUAUUGUUUCUCAAGUACAUAAAAAUGACUAGGUAGCAAGUUUGUAAAUUGACUGAAAGGAAUACUAGCUCUUUCAAUAUUUAAGAUGCCAUCUUGGUGGGGAAAAUCUUCCUCCAAGGAUGUAAAGAAGAAAUCAAAGGAAAAUUUCAUUGAAACAUUGCAUCGAUUCAUAAGUUCAACUGAACAAAAGGGAAAUACAAAGUCGGGAGGGACUCGUAAACGUAGCAGCGACAUAACAUCAGCAAAGGGCUCUCAAUCUAGGGCAGAAUCACGUUCGACAUCACCCUCUAAAGAAGUUUCUCGCUGCCAAAGUUUUCAAGAUAGGCCGCAUGCACAUCCACUUCCUCUUCCUGUUCUUCGGUCUGGCAUUACAUGCACGUCCUCUGAGGUCAGCACAUCAAAGCUGACAGAAAAACGGGGCAAACCACAGCUGCGUUUACCACUUCCUACCCCCAAUUGCGUUAUAAGAAGGCCGGAAACCACUGCUAUCGAGGGAGAUUUGGCUACUGCUUCUGUUUCUAGUAAUUGCUCCGUUGAUAGCGAUGAUCGAGCAGAUUCUCAGCUUCCCAGCCCUGUAGGGAAUGAUAUAGAAAAUGGGAAUAGGGUUAUCACAAACAAUCAUUCCAGGUAUGUUUCGUGUAACUUAAUGAUCAUUUUGAGUCCUUUCUAUCUACUAUAAUGAUCCCCUUACAGCUUUCUCUUCUCUCUUUUUGCAGUACUGUGCUUAAAGAUCAGUCUAUGGUCACUACUCGGAAGAACUCAAGACAAAUUGCUAAGCCCCCCAUGAUUUGUCUUGGUAACCAAAAUUUAUCCACAUCACCCAAGAAGGGGAUCGAGAACUACCAACCCAAUUUACAGAAUCCUCGGCAGGGGGCUUUUGGAAGUGCGCCUGAUAGUUCGAUGUCUAGUCCUACUAGAAGUCCUCUAAGAAUAUGCCCUGAUCAGAUUCCAACCUCUGCUUUUUGGGCAGCAAAGCCUCACACUGAUGUCACUUUCCUUAGUUCUGGCCAGUGCUCUAGUCCAGGUUCAGGUCAGACGUCAGGACACAAUUCGGUCGGAGGAGACAUGCUGGGUCAGUUAUUCUGGCAGCCCAGCAGGGGUAGCCCAGAAUGUUCUCCGAUACCUAGCCCAAGAAUGACGAGUCCUGGCCCUAGUUCUAGAAUACACAGUGGACCUGUUUCUCCAUUGCAUCCGCGGGCCGGAGGGACAGCGCCCGAAUCACCUACAAGUCGCCAUGAUGAGGUGAAGAAGCAAUCCCAUAGACUGCCACUCCCGCCAAUAAGUGUCUCUAACAGUUCUCCUUUUUCUCCGAACAAUUCAACAUCAAAUAGCGCUCUCCCUAUUCCUCGUAGUCCUGGAAGGACAGAUAAUCCCCCGAGCCCUGGUUCACGGUGGAAGAAGGGGAGGUUCAUUGGCCAUGGCACAUUUGGCCAUGUUUAUGUUGGCUUUAAUAGGUAUUUUCAUUUUGCCUCUGCUCCUCAUUGGUCACUUUUAACUUGCAAUUUUGUUUUUCGAUCUUAUUUAUCUGGCUUGUGGUAGUUUCUCUACUAUAUCGCAUGAUUGAUUGUAUUUUACUAGUUUUCUAUCUACAUCUACCUUUUUUUUUUUGCCUUUUUAUUCCAUCGUUCUUAUUAUAAACCAUCGUGCUUAUUGUACAAAGUAAUCUGGUCUUGUUUUUUCAGCCCACUGAUUAUAAGUUUAAGAGACUGUUUCAUACAUUCUUAAUGUACUUCUAUUUGUACUUACUCGAUCUUUGUUUUCGCUUCUUUUUCCUUUCCAUUUGAACUAGUGAGAGUGGCGAAAUGUGUGCAAUGAAGGAGGUUACCCUCUUCUUGGAUGAUGCUAAGUCAAGAGAAAGUGCGAAGCAAUUGGGACAGGUAAAUUGGUUGGCCAUACUUGUUAUCAGUUAUCUCAUGUUACAUGCUAGGCAAAUCUGCCAUUUUCCUCGUGGUUUAGGUAUGCUUUUUUUAAUUGUUUGAUUCUUUUCACAGGAAAUAUCUCUCUUGAGUCGGUUGCGGCAUCAGAAUAUAGUGCAGUAUUACGGAUCUGAGAUGGUAUUAAAUUUACUCGUAGUGGUUUUCACUUUAAAUGUGAAAAAGUUUUAGUACUUUUCUUCUUUCAAUUGCCUGUUCUCACUUUAUUAUCUGCUAAGCAGAUAGAUGACAAGUUAUAUAUAUACUUGGAGUACGUCUCUGGUGGUUCCAUCCAUAGACUUCUCCAAGAAUAUGGCCAAUUUGGAGAGCCAGUACUUCGUAGCUAUACUCAACAGAUCCUUUCUGGCUUAGCUUAUUUGCAUGGAAAGAACACCGUUCAUAGGUACUAUCUAACUUCUUACACAGUUAACUACUAUUCUUUCUUCUGCUUGGAUCUGUGCUGUUCACCUUACACUAGAUUCUUAUGCUUCUAGUUAUUCUUUUGUUGAGCCUGCAGAGAUAUUAAAGGUGCAAACUUACUGGUUGACCCCAAUGGUCGAGUUAAGCUGGCAGAUUUUGGGAUGGCGAAACAUGUAAGGAUAGAAUUUGCUAACCCUUUUAAUGCUGUAAAUAUUUUCAUAUGAUCCCUAUACUGUUGUGAUUCUAAAUAUUCAUCUGAAAACACCUAUGAUUUUGUGCGCAUAGAAUUUUGAUGCACCCCUGCCAAAUAUUUCUCCCUGUUAACCUGUAAUUAUUACUUCUUUUUUUUUCAUUUGUAUAUAUUCUUGAUUGAUCUAUUUACGUGAUGUCCUCUCACUUUUUCUAUAAAUGAUCUUUGUUGAAGUUAUACAAGGAGAGUAAAAAAUGGAAACCAUUAGAUUGUUGCUGCUUGAAAGUUUUACCUAAAAUUUGUAUAUCACUCUUGUUUCAGAUUAGUGGACAAUCAUGUCCCUUAUCGUUCAAGGGAAGCCCAUAUUGGAUGGCACCUGAGGUAAUCUUGUUUUAAGGUUUUUGAGCCCUCUUUAUAUUUGUAAAUCAUAAGCUCGUUGUUUGUAGUUACUGUACUAUUUUUUAUGUACAGGUUAUCAAAAAUACAAAUGGCUGCAGUCUUGCUGUUGAUAUUUGGAGCUUGGGGUGCACGGUUCUGGAAAUGGCCACUUCAAAACCACCAUGGAGCCAGUAUGAAGGGGUUGGCACUUCACACUUUGGUGGUUAAUAAUUUAUUUUACAUACUAACCUUGUUUUUACCUUAUGAAUAUUUGCCUAUAAGGAAGGGUGGUAACAUUUUGUUUCAUUUUCUCUAGGAUUUUUAUCGUGCGAUGUUAUUAAGCUGUUGAGCCCAACAAGGCUAGUUUAGCUAAUUGACCUUGAAAACUUGGCUUGAGUUUGGUUAUAAGUAGGACUCUCAAGCUGAGCUCUAGUGCCUUGCUCGAAUGUGCUCUGUUGACCCCCGCGGCCCCCAAAACACCCCCACCCCUACCCCAGACCGUGGCAUUUUUUAUUAUAUGUUUCAUUUACUAUGUCAUUUAUAGCUCCAACAAAAAAAUGCUAGUAUUUUGUUAAUAAACGACCUAAUUAAUUGCCUGUAUUAUAUUUUUGUCCUCCUGGAACUGAUGUUAAAUUUAAAAUUCCCCUUACAUAUCUCCUGGAUCAAGGAAGAGAAAUCAAAGAAAUUAUUUACCGCACUGUGCUUAGACAAAUGGUUAUUCUUUUGCCUAAUUUUGAGUUGGUUUAACAUUGUCAUGCUUUGGUCUACAGAUUGCAGCUAUGUUCAAGAUAGGAAACAGCAAGGAGCUUCCAGCAAUCCCUGAUCAUCUGUCGGGGGAAUGCAAAGAUUUUGUCAGGCAGUGUCUUCAGCGUGAACCGUCUAAACGCCCUACAGCAGCAGAGCUUUUGCAGCAUCCUUUUGUCAAAAAUGCAGCUCUGCCUGAUAAAUCUAUUGCUGCUCCUGAUCCUUUAGAACGGAUUCCUGGUGUAUCCAAUGGGCCAAUCCUCACGGUACUGUUAAUGCAUGUUCAUCUUAUUCCUCACUUAUUUGUUAAUAGAAGAUCUUAUCAUACUAGUUAAUUUUAUCGACAAUGGUCUUAUAUCUGCUGUCAAGUUGCAAGUUUGCAAUCAUUUCCUCACACAACUUAAUGAAGUCCCUAAGUCCUUGUCAAUGCCCGUUCUCAUGUGGUGAAGGGUGUAUUCCCUUCUGUUUAAAUAACAUGAGAUUUGGAACAAAAUGUUGCUAGUCAUGUUCAUUUCCCUGGGGAAUAAUUGACCUUAAAUUUAUUAUUCUUAAGAAACCGUAACUCCUCAGAUUUAAGCAAUCAUCAUGUAAUGAUCAUGAGAUUGAUUCUUUGUCAUUAAGAUCGCCAAACUGCAUAUGCUGUCUUAGACUUUGAUGCUUACUGCUUAGUCAUGAAUGCGUCCUGCAUGCAUUUGCUUUCUUUCGAUUAAAGAAAUACUUAGAAGUCUUUUUACAUCUUUUUGGUUGUUAAUCCAAAUAUAUUGUUCUACAAGCUGUAACUCUGAUGAAAGGUCAAUCAACAUUUGUGGUUUCCAUACUUUUCUAUUUAUUUGUAUAUGAUUUUCUGAGCUGAGAAAGAAUAAAAUCUUAAACUGUUUAAGUUCAUUAGUUUUCAAUCCUACAACCUUCACCGUUUUCUGAAUAUGGCAUAAUCAUCGUCAUUUGUUCAACAUAUUUCAGGGUAUCGGGCAUGCAAGAAAUCUUUCUUCCUUGGGUAUGGAAGGAUUGACAAUCCAACAGAGAAGAGGUGCUAAAGCGGCGGCAUUUUCGUGGUACGUUGUCAAAUAUUUUUCCUUUCGUUUUGGUUCAACAUGAUACCAUAAAUAUUAUUUGGCUGUCUUCAUUUGCACGUCCAGUGAGAUUCACAUACAGAAGAACAUAUCCUGUCCCGUCUCUCCCAUUGGAAGCCCUCUUCUGAAGUCAAGGUCUCCACAAAAUAUGAAUGGAAGGAUGUCCCCUUCUCCCAUCUCAAGCCCUAGAACUACGUCAGGUGCUUCCACACCUUUGACCGGUGGGAAUGGAGCUAUCCCAUUUAAUCAUCAAAAGCAUUCAUCGUACCUUAGCGAUGGCUUCACAACUCCAUCAACAAGGUCACCUAAUGAUCUCUAUCCCGGUGGGUCCCAGUCUCACGAUCCAGAGCUCGAUCUUUUCCUUGGGGUGACGCAAGGCUCACCCCUUCCUCAAUUUGGGAAGUUGGGGCAUGGAAAUGUGUGGGACUCAUAUGACAGGCAGUCGUUUGCUGAUAAUGCCCCUCGUCAAUUCGUGAGAGAACACGGGAGGCUAAACCCCUCCCUGGAUCUUAGACCCGGUUCUCCAAAACGUGGUAUUUAAAUUUGCAAAUUUGUAUCAUACUGCCCGAAGACGAUUCUAAUAUAAUUUUUUGAAAAUUGGAGGAUGCGAUUAAAGGAAAAUUGUCAUCUGCAUCGAGUUCAUUUUGGUGAGUUGCUUCCUUCUCGCCUUCCUCUCUCACUAAAGCUUGGUAGUACCAGACCUUAACGAUACUUUUAACUCCGCGAUCUUGAUAAUAGUUCUCUGUUUUCCUUCGUUUUUUUUUUUGUGUGUGUAUUACAGUAGUCUUAUACUCGAUGAUUAACUGCGGAAUAUGCAUCUCUAUAAUCUUGUGCUGCGAAAGGAACGCACCAGUUACUGUCGGCAGGUGAACUGUAUAUUGUAACUUCCCAUGUUCCUGAAGGGCUGGAAAAUCAAAGGUUUGUACCUCUAUGCUCCUCUUUUCUCUAUUUUAUCCUUAAAUGGGAGGCCGUUGUAUAGAAGACGGGGGAUCUCAAUCGAAGCGUCCACAUUUUGCACAGGAGGAGACAAUUUGAGCCUUUCAAUGCCUGUUUAGUUAUAUGAUACUUUUUCUUCUCAUGCUGCAAACUGCAUUUGUCCUAUGGCCAUCUGUACACUAGAACUCUCUAACUUAAUGGCGCUUUUUGUAUCAAUAGACACGCUUGCGGAAAUUUAUUCCAAGGCCCUGAUAUUCUUUGUUUAUAUCAUUAAUUUCUUUCUUCUGUUUUUUCCUAUCUUUAAUUCGCAUUGGUACAGUGUUCGGUGGUUCUUGGGAUGAGUUUAUCAGUAGUUGCAUUAGGGUUCUGUUGUUCUUCUCCAGCUAUUGUUGCUAACUCUGCGCAAUUCAGAAUAUAUAUUUGAGUUCUCUUGGACUUUAUUCCCCGUUCUGUACCUGUGAUCUUAGUUCAUUUGAACGUGUAGUUGGUGUUGCGUUUUUUUUCUUUCUUUUUUCUUUUUUUUUUGACACUGCGCUCCCCGAUAAAGUGCUUCUGAGAAAUGAACUUGAAUUUAAUGUUUCCGGAAUUGCUUUUUAGAUCAUCUCCUUUGGCCUGCUCCUCCGUCCUUUUUUUUAUCUUUGUCUUUUAGGCUUCCGAUUCAAUUUCAGUCACAAAAUUCACGUGCCGGGCGAAAAAUUGAAAUAAAAAUUUAAAAAAAAUUCCGAAGGUAUUUAAGGGUGUAUAGUGACUCUGUUUUAACACAUAUUUAGGUUCGUGAAGUGAGAUUCCACUCAAAAGAAGCGGUAGCUAAUCCGUACUAGCUAGUCAAAACAGUUAUAAGCAUAUAUAUUACUAUUAAUAAUCCAGAAAAAAAUGUCUGGAAACUUGAACUUAUUGGACUCUACUGUUAACGAGUACGGUAAACUAUCACUACGGGAAAAAAAAAAAAAAAAAAAAAAAANAGGAAGUUCCAGAAAAAAAAAAAAAAAAAAAAAAAGAGUGGGGGAAAAAGUAAUAAACGAUGGGAAAUAUAAAGAGUUGAAUUAAUUCAGCAAAGAAAAUUUAAACUCAACAGCAAUAAUAUUAAGGGAAUUUGUCUAGGUAGUAGCUUUACGCCAAGCACUUUAUUCAUAUAUUUUGAAGAAUCAGAUAUCUUAUUGUCACGUUCUGUAAUAUUAUUUGAAAUUCUUGGACAAUUUUUUUGGUUUAAUCAAAGCCAUUAAUAGCUGCCCGUUUCGCUUUUCUCGCCAGCUUUUGAAAAAGUAGCGAGAACUACUUAAAAAUUUUUAAGAUUCUGUUUGAACAUCGAAAUAAUUUAUUUGGUAUAAAAAUUUUUUAGUAUAAGCAUAAGCAACUAAUUUAAUUUUCACUUUUUGAAAGGUCAACAUAUUUAUAAUUUUAUAAAAUAAUAUAUUUUACCUACAAGAGGUGAUAUAACUUAUCUAAAAAAUAACUAGAAGAACUAAUAUAGCAUCCAAUUUGUGACAUUUAAUCACACUCUUCCUCUAUCAAAUAUGCAAUUUUUUAAAAUAAAUAAAAAGAUACAUUGAAUAAAAUAUUCAUGCAUCUAAACAAAGUUUAUUUUAAAUUUUUGGAAAAACUUCAAAAAUCCCCCUUGUGGUUUCACUCUUUCUCACUUUAGUAUCCUGUGGUUUAAAGUGUAUCAAGUUUGUAUCCUGUGGUUUUGCACUUUUUCAUUUUAGUACCCUGUGGUUUAAGGUGUAUCAAUUUAGUACGUUGUGAUUUCGCAUUUUCUCACUUUAGUACUCUGUGGUUUCGCACUUUCUCACUUUAGUACCUUGUGGUUUAAAAACCACAUGGUACUAACUUGAUACAAAAAUAAAACCACAUGACACUAACUUGAUACACUUUAAACCAUAGGGUACUAAAGUGAGAAAGUACGAAACUAUAGGGUACUAACUUGAUACAUUUUAAAUCAUAGAAUACUAAAAUAAAAAAGUGCGAAAUCACAGAAGGAUUUUUAAGUUUUCCUUUUUUUUUUUUAAAGUUAAGAUAGAAUUUUUUCGGCAAAAAUAAAAAAGGCAAAAUAAAGAACUGUCCAAAAGCCCAUUUAAGUUUUCAUCACGGUAAGAACGUCUGUCCUUUUUUUCUUUUUCUUUUUCUUUUUCUUUUCUGUCUUCAAAAAGCUGAAGUUUAAGUAUACAGAGUAAAUAGUUGUUCGAUAAGCCGCAAGACAAGUAAUGAGCCGCAGGAAUUGAAGUGCGAAAAUGUAAUAAAAGUAUUUUUUUUAUUAAAAAAUUUGAUUUUUUAUUAAUAAAAGUAUUUUUUAUUAAAAAAUGUAAUAAAAGUAUUUUUUAUUUUCUGUUGUGAGACUAUUCAGCGUCCAUCGUGGAAUGACUCGAAAUCCGCUGGGCAAGCAGGGACAUGCCAGCGCAGAAUCUGUCCUUAGCCUACUCCUGCAUCACGUGAUCAUGCCUUCUACUUACUUCUUACCGGGCAAGUUAGAUUUUAAUCUAAAUUUUAUUUUAGUAGGGUUGUUUGAUAUUAUUAACUUUAAAACUAGUUACCAAAUUUUAUAUCAAUUUUUUUUUUUAAUUUUUUGAAGUUCUUAAGUUUAUCUUAAUGUUCUAUUGCAGCAGAUAUUCUUUAAAUUUGUUUGGAGAAUGUGUUUGCUGCUUAUGUUGGAACACAAAGGUUGGCUCAAAGUUUUUUUUUUGAAAGAUAGGUAGCAUGUUAUCUGCUUCGUUUAUUUCAUUUAGAAAUAAAUUUAGCUCGAAAUGUGAAUCAACUAAGAUUCGAACUUAAGUUUCAGAUACCAACUACCAAACUCUUUGCCACUUGCUCUAGGGACGGUCGGUAGCUUGGUGCCAAACUACUACUUAACUAUAUAUAUAUAUAUAUAUAUAUAUAUAUAUAUAUAGAGUUGAGCUAGGAUACUUUUAGAAGCACUAUCCACUUGGUGCUUCUAAGUUUCUAAUCCUUGGAUCCACUCCAUAAUUACUAAUAUUCUUUGGAUCAAACACUAUUCCAUCUACCACCACCAACCACCAUCAUCUCAACCUCACAUCUCACCAUCCAAGGGCUAAAAACUCUAAAACACCACCCACUUGGUAUUUCUAAAAGUAUUCUAGCUCCACUCAUAUAUAUAUAUAUAUAUAUAUAUAUAUAUCAUGCGUUGCUGUUGGUGUUUGGAUAGGAGUGACUGAAUGAGGGGUUUUGUGUGUCCAUGUGAACCAUUUUUCUCUUUUCCCAAGGUGGUCUACAGUGUCGUGGCAUCAAGGUGAAAAAAGUUAGGCAAAAAAUGAAAAACCAGCAACCCAUGUGCUGUGGUACAAUCAAAUUAAACCCCUAUGUGUCUAUGCACCCUUAUCAUUAAUGUCUUUCACUGCCUACCACAACCUUCUAUUUUUUUUGAAAAAAAAAAUUAUAUUAUUAACAUGACGUCGCCAAUCUAUUAAAUUUUAAAUUCAUCCAUUCCGUCAUAAUUAUUAAAAAUAAAAAUAUAAUUAACCGUUAAUAAAUAAUAUCGUAUGAGUGAUACAAAGGGAAAGGAGGUUCUCCAUUGAGUAAAUAUGCUCACAGAAGUUCCAAUUCAAGCAGCAGCUGUAGCAAGGGAAAGAAAAGUCUCUAGGCCGUAAAUUGAUCCCUUCAUAAAAAAUACCCUUAAUUAAUUAAUGAUUGUCUUUGUUUGGACUUGUCAGGGUUGCUUGCAUUAAUUAAUCAUAUAAAUAUAUAUAUAUAUAUAUAAAAUAGGUUGAGACAAGAACCAAAAACCAGGAAAAUAAAAAGGCAUCCUCAUGAAGAACCAGCAAAAACAUAAUGCAAGUACAGGAUUACUUAAUUUACACACUUAAACAAGCAACAAGAGCCCUGGAAUGAGCAGGAGAACAGAGGAGAAUAUUAAAUGGAGCCACAAUAAUAAUAAUAAUAAUAAUAGACUAAAAGGGAAAGGAGGGUUCACUACAAGACAGGUGGUGAGGAAUGGAAGCAAGCAAGCCACAAGGUUUCUGGUGAAGGGAAUCUCAUAAUAAAGAGGCAUCUUAAUCUCAAGCCCUGCUCUUGAAUGGGAUGGCUCUGAUCACCACCUGGUGGUAGAUGGCAGCUAGUGCUGCUCCAAUGAAGGGCCCCACCCAGAAGAUCCACUGCAGCAAGAUAAAGACCAUUCAAUUAAAGGAAAUGGGCAUAUCAUUUAUGUAAACAUUUUGUUUCUUCUUUUUUCUUUUUUCUUUUUUUAAGAUAAAAAAAAAAGAGGAAAGGAAAAAAGAAAAACUCUUUUAAUUACAUGGUCAUCCCAAGCAUGUUCCCUGUUGUAGAUGAUGGCAGCUCCAAGGCUCCUAGCAGGGUUGAUGCCAGUGCCAGUGAUGGGGAUGGUGGCCAGGUGGACCAGGAAGACAGCAAAGCCAAUGGGCAGAGGUGCAAGGAUCUGUGUGUGUGUGUGUGUGUGUGUGUGUGUGUGACCAAACCCCCACCCCCACAACAAUAAUAAUUGUCAAUAAUAUUCAUGGAUAUAUACACAUAUAUAUAUAUAUGACAAGAAAAUUUACAGACCAGUAAAAAUAGGACCAGGAAAUUUAGCCUCAGAUGUUGAAAGCUUUUAUCAUGCUUUAACUAAAAGAAGUUCUGCUCACAUGACAUGUUGAUGUAGUAAAGCAAGCAAGUUCACAAACAACAGGUGUGCUUCUGCUCCUAAGGAAGCAAAAAAUUGAGUUUUUUUUUUUUUUUUUUUUUUUUUUUUUUUUUUGGUUUUUUCAUAAGAAACAUGCCAAUUUAGAGAGGAAGUGUCAACAAGAAAAACACCACUUGAGAGAAGGUUGCUGGGGAAACAAAAUUUCAAGGUUGAGAAUUUCCAGGAAUUUUGGGCACUGUGGAUAAUAAGAGUAACAGCAAAUGGAUGAUUUAAAUUAAACUUUUGAGCCACAGCACAUGGGAUCAUCAAACGAAGAGAGCAUAAAGCAAGUAAGAUAAAAAGAAACAGAGAUUAUAUAUAGAGAGUAUAAAAGAAGAAGAAGAAGAAGAAGAAGAAGAAGAGGAAAGAGGGAGUUGUACAUACAGGGACAUGAGAGUCUCUGGCAUUCCUCUUGGCAUCAGUGGCAGAGAAGACAGUGUAGACGAGGACAAAGGUGCCAAUGAUCUCAGCGCCAAGCCCAUCGCCCUUGGUGUAACCAGGGGCCACAACAUUGGCCCCUCCUCCAUUGCCCAUGUAGAGCCCCUUUUGGAACCCCUUCACCACUCCAGCUCCACAAAUGGCUCCCAAACACUGCAUCACUAUGUAGAAGAUGGCCCUCGUCAGGGACAGCUUCCUCGCCAGCAGCAGCCCAAAUGUCACUGCUGGGUUGAUGUGCCCACCUGCACCAAAAAAAAAAUUUUAAAAAGAAAAUUUUUAAGACACAUUAAUUUCUGAAGUUCAGAUGGAAUAUAUAUAUAUAUACAUACAUAUAAAAAAAGAGAAUGAGAGGGGAAGAGACUUUAAAAAUUUCUGUUUUUCUUGCUUCCAUGAACAAAGGAAAGAAAAUGAGAGAGAGAGAGAGAGAGAGAGAGAGAGAGAGAGGUGUUUUCAGUUUUUUUUGGCUGAGAGUAAUUUUCUCUCCUUUCCUCCUCCUAAAGACUCAAACCAAAUUGAAGAAAGUAGUUUUCUUUCCUACUUCUCCUUUCUCCUCUAUAAUAAUUAUAUACUAUUAUGUUAAAAUUGAGGUAAAACCAGAGACAGCACUUAAUUCAGUAAGCUCAAGCAAAGAUAAUCUUUUUCUCCUCUUCAAAGCUGAAGAGGAGGGAGAAGAAGCAAAAGAGUACACCAAACAGAUUAAAAAGAAAGAAAGAAGAAGAAGAAGAAGGAGGAGGAGGUGUGUAUCUAACCAGAGAUCCCAGCAGUGCAGUAGACAAGGGCAAAGAUCAUGCCCCCAAAGGCCCAAGCAAUCCCCUGGACACCCACGGUGGAGCACUUGCUGGGGGACUUGACGACGCCCAUCACGGUGAGGAUGGAGACGUAGAGGAAGAGGAAAGUGGCCAUGAACUCGGCUAUCCCUGCCCUGUAGAAGGACCAUGAUUUGAGCUCCCCUGGCUCGAACAGAGGAGCCGCGGGUGGCUCCUUGUAGUCCUUGCUAUCUUGGCUCUGCGCAGCAGUCCCUAUGGGCUGCCUCUCCGAGAACUUGUUCGCCCCCAAGCUCACAUCCUCCUCCUUCCCCUCCAUCCUAUUCCCUCUCUCUCUCUCUCUCUUUCUCUCUCUCUCUAGUUGUCAAAGGGAGGAGGAGGAGGAAGCAGAGUGAUGAAGAAGAUACCCUGCAGGGGAAGGAAAAGCCUAGUAAUGGUGGGGUUUUAUAGAGAGAGAGACAGAGACUCAGAGAGGAUGUGGCUCAGAGUGAUUAAUUAAGAAAAAACUUGAAAUACCACUCCUCUAUUAUGUGAUUUAAAGUGUACCAUUUUUAUAUUAUGUGAUUUUAUUUUUUUAUUAAUUUUUUUGUAAAAUUAAUGAUAAAAUUAAAACUAAAUAGUACUAAAGUGAAUAUUCGAUAAUCUAUAGAUGGAGUAUCUGAAAUUUUUUAUAUAUGAUUUAACGAAAAAUUAACGGAGGAGCUGAUGAAAAAAAAAAAGAAAAAAUUACAAAGUACUAAAUUGAUACACUUUAAACCAUAAGCUAUUAAGAAUGGUAUUUAAAGUUUACACAUUAAUUAAUGUUUAAACUUCUUGCUGUAGGUGAAUGGAGGUGAAAUGAAAUCCAAGGAUAUAUGGACCCUGCAAUAUUAUUUUUACUUAUUCUAUAUUUACUUACCCUUCUAAUUUCUUUUCUUGGUGAUGAUCACAAACAACAAUACAAAAAUAAAAUGUGCAAAUAAAUAAAAGUUCGAAAAAAUAAAGUAUUUUGAUUGAAAUUUUAUUUAGAAUAUUCAAUAAUUAAUUUAUUUUAUAUUAAAAUAAUUUACUUACGAAAUAAUUUAUCUUAUUUUUAAAAAAAUAAGAUAAAGAUGGAACAUGACGAUUAUUAUUAUUUUAAAUAUUUAAUCAUAAUUCAUAUCUUUAUAAUAUAUAAAUAAAUAAAAAAUAUUAGAACUAAAACCGAGAAGAUCUAAUUCGUCGGAUGCGAAAAUACCAAAAAAGAUCCGAGAAAGAGAGAAGAAAAAUAAAGCACAUAAUAUUUACGUGGUUCGGCCAACGGCCUACGUCCACGGGUGAAGACGGAGCGAAAAUCUUCAUUAGAAUCAAAGUGGUAUACAAAAUAUGCCUUUCUCACAAAAUUCUAAUUCCAAAAAAUACACCCAUAUUUUCUCUCUCAUCUUCCGCACUAAAUCAAUAGUAGAAAGGGUAUAUUUAUAAUAGUGGCUAAAUCCUAAUACGAUUAGAAAUACAAACCCACUAAGAUUAGAAAUAUCUCGAUAAAUUAGGCAUAAUCUAAACUUAACUUAAUGGGAUAAUUAAAACAGAAUAGGGUUAGAAGACCUUACGGUACUAGAAUUCGAGACAUAUUUAACAAAAAAUUUACUCCAUAUUUGUGCAUUAAUUACCUGAAAAUAUGACAAUUAAAUAGCCAUACGAGGAUAGCUCAGAACCAACCAACCAACCAACCACACAUGGUUACUUCUGUAGUUUAUUAUUAUUAUUAUUAUUAUUAUUAUUAUAUAAAUAAAAGAGAAUAAACAGUUGGGUUUUGUUGUUAUGCCACAUUUAUUUUAUUUUUUAUUUUUAUUUUAUUUUGUUUUAUUUUAUAGUUAUUAUUGUUAUUAUUAUUAUGGGGAUGAUGAGAAUGAUAGUGAGAGGGAGGAGUGGUGUAAUUGUGGGGACAAUGACAGGGAGGAGGAGGAGGAGGUGGUGGGUCUACGAUCUUAUCUUUUUCUUAAUAAAUGAUUCUAUUUUGGUUUUGCUCAUCCAAAACGCUCCAUGAGUUCAUCAUUGGCCACCCACCUUAUCCUGUGAUCAGCUCAAAUUAAUACAAAUAAUAAUAAUAAUAAUAAUAGGAAGAAUAAAAUAAAUAAAAAUAAAAUGUGGUACAACGCAUUAUUAUAAGAGAAAUUUUAUUCGCACAUUUCAAAAAAAAAAUAAAUUUUACACUUCUUAUUAUAGAGUUUAAAAAAAAAUUUGGUAUGAUAAGUAAAAUAUUAAUAGCUUUUCGAUAAAGUAAAUGUAAGAUGCACACCUUAUUUUGGGAUAUAUCAGCAUACCAAUAGCACUACUUUUAUUAUAUUUAAGAUCAGUAAGUUUAUUUGUAUUUUAGUUACGUAUUUUGGAAAUCAUUAUUUAGUAAGUAUCUUAUCUGGAUUGAGAAUUAAAUUGUGAAAAAUCUAAAGCCAUUUUUUUUCUUUUUUUCCCCUUUUUAGCUACAUGAGUCUAAUUGGAUUCGAAUUUAAAGACUUUGAUUAUGAUAUCAUGUCAAAUUAAGUAAAAAAAAAAGAACAAAAUUGAAAAAAUAUUUUCAAAAUUUAUAUUUAAUAAUAUAUUCUAUCCUUAAACAACACGUGAAAAUUUUGAAUUGGGCCAAAACUCUGAAACAAAUAAUUAUAAGCAUUUCAUGCGAUUGGUACUUUUUGGUUUUUUUUUUUUUUUUUCUUUUUCCCACCAACCCAUGCAGCUUACAAAGAACCCAAAAAGAUACGAGAGAACUUCUCAUUAAUUUGUUCUUUACAUUUCUUCUUUAGUUUCAAAUGGGCAAAAGUCCAGCGAUUCAGUGGGACCAUAGAAACAGCUGAGUAUUGAAACUUUACAUCGAAAUGGAUAAUGGCAAAUGAUUACAUCUCAAAAGAUAAAAUAAAAUAAAAUAAAAUAAAAUAAAAGAACCUCCUCCCUGAUUUUUUUUAUUAUUUUUUCCAACAUAAACACAUCAUAGGGAUUUAGAAAAGAAUUUCAUAUUAAUGCAUGGCUAAAAGAUAUAAAAAAAGUCAGCUUUACUCUGGGAAUAAAUUAAUUGACAUAAUGUCUCUACCUUGUAGAAGACAAAAUUAACGAGACAUAGAAAUACUUGAGAGGCGCAAACUUGAUGAUCUAACUUUUGAAAUAACCAUUUUACGGACUUUAAAACUGGCAAUAGUGUUAACACUCUUUGAAUCCAAACGUUGAAACGAGACAAGCCGCUUAAAAGAGAAUUAAGGCUGUAUAAUUAAAUUAAAAAAAAUAAUUGUUUAGUAAAAUAUAAAAUUAAAUAUAUCAUAACAGUAAAUCGAGAAUUCUCAAUUAGGGGUGUAAACGAGCCGAACACGAGCAAGCUGGGGUCGGCUCGUGUUCGGCUUGNGGAAUAAAUUAAUUGACAUAACUUCUCUACCUUGUAGAAGACAAAAUUAACGAGACAUAAAAAUAUUUGAGAGGCGCAAACUUGAUGAUCUAACUUUUGAAAUAACCAUUUUACGGACUUUAAAACUGGCAAUAGAGUUAACACUCUUUGAAUCCAAACCUUGAAACGAGACAAGCCCCUUAAAAGAGAAUUAAGGCUGUAUAAUUAAAUAAAAAAUAAUAAUUGUUUAGUCAAAUAUAAAAAUAAAUAUAUCAUAACAGUAAAUCGAGAAUUCUCAAUUAGGGAGUGUAAACGAGCCGAACACGAGCAAGUUGGGCAAGUUGGGGUCGGCUCGUGUUCGGCUUGUUAAAGUAUCGAGUCAAAAAAUCCAGCUUGUGUUUAGCUCGUUUAUUUACGAGCCGAACAUGAGCUGGCUCACGAGCCGGCCAACGAACAAUAAAUUAAAAAAAAUUAUAUUAAAUAUAUAUAAAAUAUAAAUUUAUAAAAUCUUAACUAUUAGACUUUUAUCUAAUAGUUGUGACUUGAAACUUUACAUAUAAAUGAGUCUUUUUAUAAUUAAGUUCGCAUUUAUAUUUUUAUUUUGCUAAAAUUUAAAUAAUAAAAAUAUAUAUUAUAUAUAAUUAUUUAUUUAUAUAUAAAAAUAUAAAUUAUAUAAAUAUAAAAUAUAUGUAUUCGAGCUGUUAUCGAGCUGAAUACGAACAAGCUGACCCCAGCUCGUAUUCGGCUCGUUUAUUAAACGAGCUGAAAAAUUCAGUUCGUGUUCGGCUCGUUUAUUAAACGAGCGAACCGAUCUCGAGCUUAUUUCGAGCCGAACAGCGAGCUGAAUUGCCACCCCUAUCUCAAUGGGACGGGGAUGGUUUCUUCUAAACUUAUUUCCGUUGAGGGGCGGAGAAGAUAGAGACGACGGUGGGGGACCCGAAAGCAGCACAUUUUACGAAGCGGCGGUCGCCGCGGGUGGGCCAUGCCCCAGCACAUGCUGCACCUCACUACAACGGCUAGUUUUCGUUGGCCCUAGGUCUUACUCCAUGAGCGUUGUUUUUAUUCAAUUUCAUGUGCAAAAAAAAAAAAAUUCUAUAAUUAUUAUUUUACUAUAAUUUGGUGUAAAAAUAGUUUUUUUUUGUACAUUGAAAAUUUUAAUUAUUUAUUAGCAACAAAACGUAUUAUAGCCGUUUGCAUUUGCGUGCGUACUCGUGUCUUUAAUAUUUGGCCUUUUUAGGAUUAGAAUUGGUGAGAAUGGAUUCAGAAUAAGAAUAUAUAUUUUGCAUUCGCUCAGUUUCAAAUAAUGCAACAAAUAUGGCAAAUUAAUUUUUAUUUUGGGAGAAAAAUUGGUACUUGGAUCUAGUUUUUCGUAUCAUUUAUUGACUGUACGGAUACUAUCUUUCUACUUUAAUUUUUCUUGUAAUUUCCUAUCUAUCAAAAUAAACUAAUUUUAAAAUUUUUAAAUGCUGAAAAUUUAAACGUCUCGCUCUUACUCUGGAUAAAAGUAAAUAACGGGAAGUUCCGGAAUUAACCCGUGGACGAGGUCUAGGUAAUAAUCCUAGAUGAUCGAACAUUAGUGGAAUGUAAAAAAAUCUAUAUUUCAACUGAUUUUUACAUUUAUAUUUUAGUGUUUAUAAUAAAUAUAUUUAAAUUUUAAAAUGAAAUCUAGAUUUUAGAGAACAAAAGAUGAAACAUAAAAAUAAAAAUAAAAAAAAAAUGCAAAUUUCUGAACGUUUCACGGCCGCAGCAUGCAAAGUGUUCUCAAACUAGACCUUAACAACUGGGAAAAAAAAAAAAAAAGGGCCACGUAAACUUUAAAUAUCAAUACUUCGGUCUCGCACUUUUUUAUUUUAGUGUUCUAUGAUUUAAAGUGUAUCAAUAUAGUAAUCCUGUGCUUUUAUUUAUUUUUUCAUCAGUUUUACCGUUAAUUUUUUAUUAAAUUAUAUAAAAAAAACUUCAGAUACUCUAUUCAUAAUUUAUCGAAUAUUCACUUUAGUAACUCAUAGUUUUAACUUUAUCGCUGAUUUAAAAAAAAAUUAGUAUAGAAAAUAACAAAAAAAUAAUCACAGAGUAUGAAAGUGAUAUAUUUUAAAUUAUAAGAUACUGAAGUGAGAAAAUACGAAAUUACGUGAAUGGUAUUUAAAAUUUUUUCAAAAAAAAAAAUUAAAAGAAAAGGGGCUGGCAUGUCUCUGUCCACCCAACCAAUCAUACAAUUCCAGUUGAUUNAACUUUACAUAUAAAUUAGUCUUUUUAUAAUUAAGCUCGCAUUUAUAUUUUUAUUUUGCUAAAAUUUAAACAAUAAAAAUAUAUAUUAUAUAUAAUUAUUUAUUUAUAUAUAAAAAUAUAAAUUAUAUAAAUAUAAAAUAUAUGUAUUCGAGCUGUUAUCGAGCAGAACACGAACGAGUUGACCACACCUCGUAUUCGGCUUGUUUAUUAAACGAGCUGAAAAAUUCAGUUCAUGUUUGGCUCGUUUAUUAAACGUGCGAGCCGAUCUCGAGCUUAUUUCGAGCCGAACAGCGAGCUGAAUUGCCACCCCCUAUCUCAAUGGGACGGGGAUGGUUUUUUCUAAACUUAUUUCCGUUGAGGGGCGGAGAAGAUAGAGACGACGGUGGGGGACCCGAAAGCAGCACAUUUUACGAAGUGGCGGUCGCCGCGGGCGGGCCAUGCCCCAGCACAUGCUGCACCUCACUACAACGGCUAGUUUUCGUUGGCCCUAGGUCUUACUCCAUGAGCGUUGUUUUUAUUCAAUUUCGUGUGCAAAAAAAAAAAUUCUAUAAUUAUUAUUUUACUAUAAUUUGGUGUAAAAAUGAUUUUUUUUGUACAUUGAAAAUUUUACUUAUUUAUUAGCAACAAAAUGUAUUAUAGCCGUUUGCAUUUGCGUGCGUAUUCAUGUCUUUAAUAUUUGGCCUUUUUAGGAUUAGAAUUGGUGAGAGUGGAUUCAGGAUAAGAAUAUAUAUAUUUUGCAUUCGCUCAGUUUCAAACAAUGCAACAAAUAUGGCAAAUUAAUUUUUAUUUUGGGAGAAAAAUUGGUACUUGGAUCUAGUUUUUCAUAUCAUUUAUUGACUGUACGGUCAUUAUCUUUCUACUUUAAUUUUUCUUGUAAUUUCCAAUCUAUCAAAAUAAACUAAUUUUAAAAUUUUUAAAUGCUGAAAAUUUAAAUGUCUCGCUCUUACUCUGGAUAAAAGUAAAUAACGGGAAGUUCCGGAAUUAACCCGUGGACGAGGUCUAGGUAAUAAUCCUAGAUGAUCGAACAUUAGUGGAAUGUAAAAAAAUCUAUAUUUCAACUGAUUUUUACAUUUAUAUUUUAGUGUUUAUAAUAAAUAUAUUUAAAUUUUAAAAUAAAAUCUAGAUUUUAGAGAAUAAAAGAUGAAACAUAAAAAUAAAAAUAAAAAUAAAAAUAAAAUGCAAAUUUCUGAACGUUCCACGGCCACAGCAUGCAAAGUGUUCUCAAACUAGACCUUAACAACUGGGAAAAAAAAUGGGCCGGGUAAACUUUAAAUAUCAUCACUGUGGUCUCGCACUUUUUCACUUUAAUAUUCUAUGAUUUAAAGUGUAUCAAUAUAAUAAUUCUGUGCCUUCAUUUUUUUUUUCAUCAGUUUUACCGUUAACUUUUUGUUAAAUUAUAUACAAAAAACUUCAGAUACUCUAUUUAUAAUUUAUCGAAUAUUCACUUUAGUACCUCAUAGUUUUAACUUUAUUGCUGAUUUAAAAAAAAAUUAGUGUAGAGAAUAACAAAAAAAUAAUCAUAGAGUAUGAAAGUGAUAUAUUUUAAAUUAUAAGAUACUGAAGUGAGAAAGUGCGAAAUUACGUGUAUGGUAUUUAAAAUUUUUUCAAAAAAAAAAAGAUUAAAAGAAAAGGGGCUGGCAUGUCUCUGUCCACCCAACCAAUCAUACAAUUCCAGUUGAUUCUAGCCAAUUCGCUGGCCCCACAGCCCAUUUAAUAUUAUAUUAGAAUUUUCUACGUACACAUGCCUUUAAUUAGUACAAAUAUUUAUUACAUGUGAUCAUAAUAUCAUAAACCUUUUAUACACACACACACAUACCCACCACACACACACACACCAUGUUUUGGUAUUAACUAAUUCCACACACACACCAUAGUUUGGUAUUAACUAAUUCCACUCAUUUGAUAUUUAUAUAUGCGGUGAAAGAAUAUGGGGUGGAACUGCUUGAAUAAGAAAGCUGGUGCUUUAAUAAUAUAUCUUCUUCGCUGGGAUCAAUUAUAAUGCAAAUUAUGAUUAAACUAAAGCUAUGGGCGGUUAUCUUAAUUAAUAUUAAGAAAGCAUUAAGAAAGAUAAUCCUUGAAUAGGGUUUGUUAUACAGCUUGCCGCCUAAUUCUACUUUAACAUUGUUAUUAAUUUGGUUCUUCAAAUACUCGGUUUUUUCUUAAAAAAAAAAAAACUUCUUUUUGGAGUCUUAGUGAGCUUAUCUUGCUCUUAAAUUAGAAAUUUUGACCAACUGUAUUUAACACAAUUGGCUGACGAAUUUGGUAUCCGAUAUCUCAAGUUUGAAGCAUAAUUUAUCCUUUUUUUGAAAGUGAAGAGAUAAAAUAGCAAACUAUUUGUUUCGUUUAUUUAUUAAAAAAAGGAUUUAACUAUAAAUAUUAGUAAUUAAGUUUCGAACUUAAGAUUUUGAGUACUUAUCGUUAAAAUCAUAGCUAACUGUACUAGAUACGGUUGAUAAAUCUCAAAUCUAAUAACUUUACAUUUCUAGGUGAGCAUGCUUUUAAUAUACUAAUAUAAGGAAAUUGUUUACUAAUUAUUUUUUUUUUACAUCUUAUGUUUUUACACAUAAUUUGAACAAAAAGAGAAGGCUCUCCGAAUACUUGUGGAAUUGAAGGGGGCGAUUACGCCAACGAGUAUCAUGUGAGACCAAAAAUAUCAUGUUCCAUCCAAUUCCUUCUCGAGGCUUCACGAGCCAACGAGUAUCAUGUGAGACAACUCAGCAACUUCUUUUCUCUACUUGCCCACAUGAGGGUCCCUUUCCCCCAAACCAACCACCUCAGCAACCAAAAAAUGUUUCUUUAUAGCCACAUACAUACAUACAUACAUAUGCAUAUACAUAUAGAGUUGAACUAGAAUACUAUCGGUAGCCGUUUUACUACCGAUUUGUUUUCGAUGAUAGAGCUUUCAAAUUGACGAUCGGCUCCGUUAAAUAUGAUAUAAACCAUUUAAACUACCUAGAAAUCAAAUUUCACGCACUUUCGAUAUUGUUCUUUUAUCUAUCAAGUGAACAGAAAAAUGAAUGGCUGAAAAUGAAUACUCUUUAAAAAAUGAUGAUAGGAGUCUUGUAAUCAAGAUCAAGAGUAUAGAUCUUGUUAUAAAUAGUUUAAAGAAUUUUCUAACAAAAAUUCAAUUGAUUUGGAUAUCUUUACGCCGUUAAACGAGAAAACGCCUCUUAUCGACCAUUAAAAUUACAAAUUUUGAAACCCUUUGAUCAUUAGGCAAAUGAUAUUGAAAAGAUUUGAAAUUUGAUUUCUAAACACUUCAAGUGGUAUAGAUCAUGUUCAACGGAGCCGAUCGUCAAUUUGGAAGCUCUAUCAUCGAAAAUAAAUCGGUAGUAAAACGACUCGUUUACUACCGAUAGUAUUCUAGCAAAACUCUAUAUAUAUAUAUAUAUAGAGAGAGAGAGAGAGAGAGAGAGAGAGAGAGAGAGAGAGAGAGAGAGAGAGAGAGAGAGAAUUCUCAAAAAAUAUAUAGAGAGAGAGAAUGAGAGAGUAGGCUUUGUGUGUUAUUAGGAGCACGGAGGCCUCCGUGCUCCAAAGCCGUUUUCGAUGAUGGAGCUUUCGAAUCGACGAUCAGCUCCGUUAGACUUGAUCUAGCAUAUUUGAAGUAUCUAGAAAAUAAUUUUUAUGACUUUUCAGUAUUAUUUUCCUAGCUAUCGAAAGGGUUCAAAAUUUUAAUGGUUGAUAUAUACCGUUUGCAAGUUUAACCGUAUAGAAAUAUUCAAAUCAAAUGAAAUUUUGAUAGAAAAUUCUUUAUACUAUUUACAGCAAGAUCAAUAUCUUUGAUCGAAAAUUUUAAUACUAUAUAUAUAUAGAGAGAAAGAGAGAGAGAGAGAGAUUCUCUGUGUAUUAUAUUAUAUUGAUAGAACGAAGUUUUUGACACUAUUGAGUUUUUUGCGGUUUAAUUUACUUUUUAAUUAUUUCCACCCGUUAGUAUAUAUUAUUAAACCAACAUCCCACUCAAUCUUAGGAGACUAUUAUCAUCCUAACUGCACGUCCUUUCAUUCAACGAUCGAAAACUCGAUAGUAUAAAAUAUUUGAUACUAUUGAUAGUAUAAUGGCAUAAUUCUAUAUAUAUAUAUAUAUAAUAUAAUAUAUAACUAAUGGAACCGACCAAUAAAGAUGGUUUAGCCGUAUAGGUAAGCAGAAAUGUGAGACCAAAAAUAAUAAGAAGAUGCCAUUAUUUCUCUCCUCGCGUCUCUUAUGAUACAUCUUUCUCUUGAUUUCAUGUAAAACAUGCGUUAUGAUCUUAUGAUCUAAGAUCAUGUUGAGAAAAAGAAUACAUUUGGUUGUGCAGUACUCGAGNAGCAGUUUGAAACCAAAAAAAAAAAAAAAACUAAUAAAUAAAUAAAAUGGAACUGAUGUAAUCAUCCUUCGAAUAAUGGGAUUAAAUAAGAGGUUUUUCCAUUACAGAAAGUCAAACCAAACUUGUACUCUGCACGAACAGAAAGGCUGCUUAAAUUUUUAAGCUUAAUUAAAAAAAAAAAAUCGAGCCUUUCUAAAAGCUUAAUCUCUCUCUCACUAUGUGGGACCACUUCCCGGGACCAAGCACUAUCGUGCUCGGUUACAUUUACUUCACCACUUCCCUCUAUUCUUUUUUAUUUAUUUAUUUUAUUUUUCUUUAUCUACAACGAGCCGAGCUCGAGUUAGGACCACAUGGACCGAAAUCUAGCGAGCUGGUUUCGGUUUCGAUUUCGAUUUCUUUGCCAACUCUGUAUGCAUGGCAUGUUUUGCUACGCCGACUACAUCUUGUUUGUAACAUAGUCGCAAGGUUAGUGUUCUCAGAUAAAUUCUGCAGCGUAGACGAGUAGUGCUAUAUUUACAAACAAAUUUUUUAACAUUAUACAAAUCGUGUAGUUUUUCUAGCAAAUAAGGCCCACGGCCCAAAAACAUAGUUCUCAUAACAAAGCCCAUUCAUUAGUCUGAUCUAACUUGCUUUUCAAAGAAUUCGAUGUCAAAUCAAGCCCAUCCAAUUUUGGCAGUGGACUAAUGUGGCCUAACACAAGUUUGAGAAUUAAAAACUGCAUCCCGACUGACCGUCCCUAAAGCAAGUGGCAAAAGGCUUGGUGGUUGGUGCCCGAGACCCAAGUUCGAAUCCUAGUUGGUUCUUAUUUUCAGCUAAGUUUAUUUCUAAAAUGAAAUAAACGAAGCAGAUAACGUGCUACCUAUCUCUGUCAAAAAAAAAAAAAAAAAAAAACCUGCGGCCCGAAAAAAUGGCCACUCCACAUAAGUCGACAAUUCGACAUCAGGCACCCUCCAACAAGUAUCUUGCAUCAGUCUUGCGGAAUUCAGCAAUUUAGCAAUCUCUCUAAAUAUACACUGUCACGAAAUCCACAAACUAACGAGUUCUACAUCCAAUCUAAUCGCAAACAAAUACGCCGGUAACCGAUCGUCCCUAGUGCAAGUGACAAAGGGUUUGGUGGUUGAUAUCUGAGGUCCUAACUUCAAAUCUUAGUUAAUUUAUAUUUCCAGUUAAAUUUAUUUCUAAAUAAAAUAAACGAGGCGGGUAGCAUGCUAUCUAUCUCUCUCUAAAAAAAAAAAAAAAAACAAAUACGCCAGUAACUCACUGCUACAGCGACAGCUGUCAGAUUUCUUAUAAAGAAGUUUCUAGCCAGCCGAAUCCAUUACUAGAAUUUCCAAUAUAAUGCUCGUUCGCUUGUUCUUUAAAUUAGGGGGAAAUCAAGGGUUGGACAAAAAAUAAUCUUGAUAACAUUGAGCUGGUUUCAAGGAAAUAAUAACAAAAUAAUCUUGAUAACAUUGAGCUGGUUUCAAGGAAAUAAUAACAAGAGAGAACUACAUUUCACUUACCAGGAUGAAAAUCCACAACCAUUAUUUUUAGAGGAAUGAAGGGAAAUUUGUUAUUUUGAAAGCCUAGCAAGGUUCAUUCUCAAGCUAUAUGACUGGAUUUGCAUUCGCACUUAAUGAACUUCCCCUGACAGUUCUAUCAGAUGCGCGCGCAAUAAAGCAAUUUGCAACAGAUCAUCAAAAAAGCAAGUUAGAAAUCAUUUGCAAAAAAAGGAAUUGCUCAAAUUAUAGUUGAACAAGACGGCUCAAAAUAAUCAAUUUGUACAUGGCAACUCGAUGUAACAGAGAGAAAAGUGAAAGAAAAAUGCUAAAUACCAAGAAAAUACUAAAAUAUAUAUAUAUAUUGUACUUUACAACACGUCUCAAUUGUUCUCAACAAAUUUUUUAUUUUAAUUUAACUUCUGUAUUUUGCCAUAUUCUCUAUCGCUAAACUUUCCGUUAAUCUUUUAGGCAAAUGAGUUGGACGAGGGCAAUUCAACAUUUGCUUUUUCAUGAGGGAGGGUUGUUAUAAUGUUGACGAAUUUCGAUGUUGGUGAAUCCUUGGAUUUAAUUAGUGAUUAUGUAUUCUCGUUCAGAAUAGCGAGUCCAAUGAUUGCGUUAAUUAGUCUCUGAAUUGACUGACCAUUUGAAAGAUCACUGACUUAAUUACGUCAUCUGUGAUGUAUGAGCAGGGCAGUUUAUGUUGAUUAAAUAACUGGGGCUUUGAUCAUUAAGUAGAUGAACCUAUAUAUAUUUCGAAGUUAAAAUUAGGAUUUACGAGUUUUUUAGCAUUUCGAAGAUCUUAUUUUAACCGACUUUGAUAGUGACCAACUAAGAUAGACAGAGUUGAUAGAGACUAACUAAAAUUGAGAUUGAAGUUUGGUGAAUUCAAUCAUUGAACUUGAUAACAAGUGUAGUAUCCAGCUACACGAUAUCCCCGAACAAUAUAUAGUAGAAAAUCUAAACCUAUACCUCGACUCUUCCCUUUUCCUUUUCUGUUUUUUGUUGUUUAUUUCCGUUUUCUUUUACCGGACCAUCAUAUUCGUUUAGUUCAUUUCGCUUAAUGAAUGAAGCAGGUAAUUCAUAGCUAUCUUUUCUCGAAAAAACAGAAAAUCUAAACCUAUAUCAAUUUAGAAGCUGGUGGAGAAUAUCCGACCAUUUUUUUUUUUUUAAUUAAAACAUACGGAUCUUUAGUGUAACAUUUGAUCUAUUUCCACAUAAAAAAUUAGAUGCAGAUCAUUUGCAAUGUAAAACUAUUACAUUUAAGGUUCUAAAUUUUUGUCUUAUUUCCAUUUCUCACUUUUAAAUAGGCAUAAAUAAAAUUUAGACCAUAAUUCGAAUCAAGUUCAUAUAAUAACGUCCUCUAAAUUUUAAAGUUGUUCAAGUAAUAGAUAGACAGAUAGAACCAUGUCCACCACCCCAACAUUUAACUUAAGCGGGGCAUAAAUAAAUACCACUCGGACCUUACAGCCCGAGCCCGAGCCCGAGCCCAAACCAUGUCCUCAAGAUAACGGUCCGGCGCGUGUCCUCUCUUCCCCCGGGAAGCGGCUAACCACUUCUCUCUCCUCUCUCUCUCUCUCUCUCUCUCUCUCUCUCUCUCCUCUCGAGUUCCCACCACGCCCCCUCCCGCCCCCAAAUCAAGAAGCGAGGGGAGAGAAAAUCCCAAACGGCGCAAACCCUCCCCCUCCUCCCUCCCUCAUUCAAAACCCUAGAAAUCUCCUCCUCCCCCACCUCCCAAUUCCCCUCCUUUAACCCUCUCCGCCUUGCUUAUUCCUAUCCGGUUCCUCACGUUAUCCUCUCCGUCCUCUCCCUCUCUCUCGUGCGCGCGCGCGCGCUCCUCUCACCGGUGGCCGCCGUGAACCCUAGCGCAUUCGCGGCGUUUCAGCUCUCAGGUAUCGUUUGUUUUCUUCUAUAAUUGCUCUAUCUUCGAGUUUGAUGCGAAUGGCGCUCGGAACGACGCGGUUUUUGGGGUUUUUGCGGCGUUUCUUGGGGUUAAUUUUGUGGGUUUCGGUUUUUUUUCUUGGCCGGGAGAUCAGGGUUUGGAAUUCGUUUAUUUUGAGGGGUUUUGGGACAAGUGGGGUGAUCUCGGGAUGUAGGGAAUUCGCGGAAGGAUUUUAGAUUAUUUUUUGAAGGUGGGUUCGUUGCUUGAAUCGUUGAUAAUGCUAUAUCUUUUUCGUUCUAUGUAGCUUUGGCCCUAUUUUGCUCGUGUUCUUGGAUUCGGCUCUCUUCUCGGAGUGGGGGUCGUAUGCUGUGAAUUUUGAAUCCCAAGGGUUUUUGGCGGCCGUUGUGAAAUCUUGGAAUUAAUGGGCUUUGCCCCUUCUCCUUGAGCUUUUAAAAAGUGUAGAAAUUUUCGCACUUUCAUUUUCUUGCAGAGCCACUUUCUUGUUUUAUGUUUUGGUCUUAUUUUAUAUGCAAUGGCUAUACUGGGUUUCAUCAACAGUGAUGAAGCAUAUCUACCUCAAUUCUUUGUCGAACUGGAACAUUAGUUUACUUGAAAGAAAGCUGGAUUUUGUUAGGUUGGUUUGUCAAUACAAUUGCUGCUACCAUUCUUUUCUUGCAUAUAUUAUACUUUCAGCUAAUCUAAAGCAGACAUUAUUAUGACCCUGUGACAGAUUUUUGUUCAUCAUCUGAGCUGAAAGUUCUGUUCUCGGCGGACAUUCUUUUAAUUUGGCAGUGUAGCUCUUCAUUUGUUUUUCCCUCGGGUGCAUAAAUCUCACAGAAAAUGUCAGAGAGCGAGAUGGCGAUAAUUAAGCCAGAGGUAAGCGCUUCUACUUUUCUUGAUUGAAAUUUCUCGUGUCUUGUAGUGAUUGCUGUUUGCCUCUUCAGCAACUGAUCACAGGUUGAUUACUAGCAGAUUAUGUCAUGCCAUGUAUAUGUUAUACUUUAUCUGUCCCAUUUUAUGCAUAUUAAUCUUUUCAUCUGAAAACUGUAAAAACUUGUAGUUGUUCAGAAUCUCUUUAGUCCUAUUUUGGUAUGCUAUUUCCAAUUUCUGUGGUAUGCAAUAGCAGGCGACAAAUAUAAGUUUUGAGUACAUUCUUCUGCUAUAUUCUAGCAGGCUAUGAAGUCUUACAUCUGGCUUCAAUGUGCCGACGGUUCAAUCCAGCAAGUUGAAGAGGAGGUUGCAAUGUUCUGCCCCAUGAUAUGCCGAGAGGUACUUCAGAAAGGCAUGGGAUCUUCAAAAAACUAUGCCAUUUCUCUUCCACAACGAGUCAACCCUGCAAUCUUAAGCUUGAUUCUUGAUUAUUGCCGGUUCCAUCAAGUUCCGGGCCGCUCAAAUAAGGUCUUCAUCUACUACUUGAGUAAAACAUCCAUCUCUUUUCCCCUGUUUGAUGUAUUGAUUAUUUUUCUAAAGAUACACAAAUUAGCAAGUUAGAGAGAUGAUAAAAUUAAUUUUAAAUUCUUCCAGGAUUUUUUUUAGUGAUAUCUAAAAAAUCUAGCGAUUAAAGUUCCACUUGUUUAUCUUGAUGUCUAUGACUUCCAUUUGGUAGAUUGUGCAUUAUAGUGGAAGAACCAUAAGAGAUAAUUUAUGCUGCUUGUGCUUCUAUUGUUAUUUCUGUUAUCACGUUGCUUCUUCAUUUUCUAGGAGCGGAAAUCUUUUGAUGAGAAAUUCAUCAGGAUAGACACAAAAAGAUUAUGUGAGUUGACAUCUGCAGCAGACAGUCUUCAGUUGAAGCCAUUAGUUGAUCUGACUAGUAGGGCACUUGCUCGCAUGAUAGAAGGAAAAACACCUGAGGAAAUCCGUGAGACUUUCCAUUUGCCGGAUGACCUCACUGAGGUUUUUUCAAAAUGUUUCUAGUUCACCGCUCUGGAAACUGUCUUCAUUAUCUCAUUUUGCUUUCUUCUUUAUACAUAGGAAGAGAAGUUGGAGCCUUUAAAAAAUGCAAAUGAUGAUCCACGGAUCCGUUUAUUGAAUAGAUUAUAUGCUAAGAAAAGAAAAGAGCUGAAGGAACGACAAAAAUUAAAGGUAGGUACACUUUAUUGUAAUUGUUCUGAUUUCGUCAGUUCCUGCUCUAAAUACGGAAUACAUCCUCAAAGCUGAGAGCCCCCUCACUUAUUGCUCCCUCUCUUCAUAAAAGGAGAAGGAAAUAAAAUUUUAGGAAAACAUACGGAACCCCACUCACCAAUAAUAUGAGGUGCUUAGGAUUAAGUACAGCUGAGUGUAAAUGAGUUUCUAAAUUAUGAUGACCUUUCUCAGGAUAUUGAAGUUGAGGAAGAACCAAAGGAUGAGCGUUCGGUCGAAGAAAUUCUAUCAUUCAUAAAUGGUGAUGGAGGUAGACCUUUAGUAAAUUACUUUACCUUUGUCAUUUACUUGUAGUUGGACUAGUGGACUGCUAAUUCUUUGUGUGUGUGUGUGUGUGUGUGUAAGAUGUUGAAAAUUCUUGUUCAUAUUGAUGUGAUGAAAGAUCUACAUAUUUAAUUGUUAAUGCAAUGUGUCACUUAAUUUGGAAAGAGGUUUUCCUGUUUAUGAACUUUUCUGUUUACUUGUUUUUUGAUGCUAUUUACUGCUAUAAACUACUAAAAAUUGGGACAAUUAAUACAUUCUCUGGAGUGCUUCUUGUAGAUACAUUAAA
rnacentral:lncRNA from 1 species